ACGAGCUGAGUAUGAGAAACGUUUUAAUGGCCGUGAUAUGCAAUAUCUAAGUACCCGUCGAAAUCUUACCCCCGAAGAACAAAAAGAACUUUUAGCUUAUAUGUUUCCGAGGUUUCAUAAACAUGAUCCUGAGGUUACAGAUCUUUAUGCACACUCAUGUCCAAUUCUGGAUUUAGUAUAUCAAAUCCGUGAAAAGGAUUAUGUCAUGGACAAGAAACCUGAAGCGGAACUUCAAAAGAUACAAAUUUCUAAUCCGGGGUUUUAUAAUGACUAUUUCGUGUACCCGGAGGAGCCAAUGAAUCCAAUGGAGUAUUCGGAUGAUACAGUGGCCGUCAUGAAUGCUCCAUUUUAUACUGCUAAUUGUCAUAUUGUCGAGUUACUUGAGGAUUGUGGAGAAUUAGCAGGUAUUCGAAAAGAAAGGGG
rnacentral:misc_RNA from 1 species